rnacentral:rRNA from 1 species
UACAGAGGUCCCAAGCGUUGUUCGGAUUCACUGGGCGUAAAGGGUGCGUAGGCGGUCGGGUAAGUCUGAUGUGAAAUCUCACAGCUUAACUGUGAAACUGCAUUGGAUACUAUUCGGCUUGAGAGUUGGAGGGGGGACUGGAAUUCCCGGUGUAGCGGUGAAAUGCGUAGAUAAUCGGGAGGAACACCUGUGGCGAAAGCGGCUCACUGGACCGCAACUGACGCUGAGGCGCGAAAGCUAGGGGAGCAAACAGGG